rnacentral:rRNA from 1 species
AUUGAACGCUGGCGGCAGGCCUAACACAUGCAAGUCAAGCGGAUGAGAGGAGCUUGCUCCUCGAUUCAGCGGCGGACGGGUGAGUAAUGCCUAGGAAUCUGCCUAGUAGUGGGGGACAACGUUUCGAAAGGAACGCUAAUACCGCAUACGUCCUACGGGAGAAAGUGGGGGAUCUUCGGACCUCACGCUAUUAGAUGAGCCUAGGUCGGAUUAGCUAGUUGGUAGGGUAACGGCCUACCAAGGCGACGAUCCGUAACUGGUCUGAGAGGAUGAUCAGUCACACUGGAACUGAGACACGGUCCAGACUCCUACGGGAGGCAGCAGUGGGGAAUAUUGGACAAUGGGCGAAAGCCUGAUCCAGCCAUGCCGCGUGUGUGAAGAGGGCCCUCGGGUCGUAAAGCACUUUAAGUUGGGAGGAAGGGCUUACAGCGAAUACCUGUGAGUUUUGACGUUACCGACAGAAUAAGCACCGGCUAACUUCGUGCCAGCCGCCGCGGUAA